rnacentral:lncRNA from 1 species
UCGUGGUAUCUAGCGACACUUUGUUUGUAAGCUGCAUUCUUUGCCUAUGCAUUGUCCCUUAGCUUGUCCACCAAGUCUAGAGUUGUUGCGCAUGAUCUCAUGUUUUCUUCCAUGUCAUAGGUUAACACUCUGACUGUUGGUACGCUUAGCUCUGUCAGGAUUAGUGCUUCCAUUCCGUAUGCUAGUAAGAACGGGGUUUCCCCGGUGGGUGUCUUUUCAGUGGCUCUAUACACCCAUAGGAUCUCUGGUAGUAGAUCUGCCCACGAACCUUUGGCCUGUUCGACCUUUUUCUUCAGCCCCUGAACAAUAACUCUGUUUGUGACUUCUACUUGCCCAUUACCCUGUGGUCUG